AUGAGGUUACCUAGUACACUAUCAAGAUUUUAUCACUUGAAAUUCUUGGACCUAUAUGAUUGGUUUGGUAGUUCUGAUUUGCCUGAGGACUUUAGCCAUCUUGAGAAUUUACAUGAUUUCCAUGGUAGAAGUGAACUCCACUCCAGUAUUCGCAAUGUUGGAAAGAUGAAGCAUCUGCAGGAGCUAAAAGAAUUCCAUAUCAAGAAGGAGAGCAUGGGAUUUGAACUGAGAGAACUUGGGGCAUUGUCAGAGCUUGACAGAGCACUGGUUAUACGUGGUCUUGAACACGUGGCAACCAAGGAAGAAGCUACUGCAGCCAAACUGAUGUUGAAAAGGAAUCUGAAGGAGUUGGAAUUACUUUGGGGCAGAGAUGGACCAACUACAGAUGCUGACAUUCUUGAUGCCCUUAAACCACACUCUAAUCUUAGAGUACUUACAAUUGAAAAUCAUGGUGGUACAGUUGGUCCUAGCUGGUUGUGUCUUGACAUCUGGUUAAGAAGUUUAGAGACUCUCACUCUAGAAGGCGUAUCUUGGAGCACCCUCCCACCUUUUGGGAAGCUAACAAAUCUCAAGGGACUCAAUUUGAAGAAAAUUUCUGUGAUGCAUCAGUUUGGACUUGGAUGUGGUGGAAAAUGUUUUAUGCGCUUGAAGACAGUUGAGUUUUAUGAGAUGCCAGAACUUGCUGAAUGGGUUGUGGAAGCUAAUUGUUGUUCCUUUCCAUGUCUUGAAAUAAUCAAAUGCAUCAACUGUCCCAAUCUCCGUGUGAUGCCCUUGUCGGAGGUAUGUUGCACCAAUUUGCGCAGACUUGAAGUUUCUGGGUGCCCCAAGAUGUCUCUGCCCUCCAUGCCUCACACCUCCACACUGACAGAUUUGAAAGUUAUAAGAGGUGAUGCAGAAAGGUUGUUGUCUUAUGAUGGAAAGCAAUUGGUUGUUAGAGAGUAUGGCGGUGCUUUGGCCUACCACAAUCUAGAUAAGGUAGAAGAUAUGACUAUUGCACAUGUAUCGCACAUAUCACUGAGAGACAUUGAAAAGUUUAAAUCCCUAACAAAAGUAUCUGUCGGAAGAUGCGACGGUUUGUUCCCUGAAGAGCUGGAUGGCAGUAUUGUCUUCCAUUCAGUUAAGAGUCUCAAAUUAGAUGUAUCUCAUCUUACCAGCAGCAAAUCAUCAUCGUCAAAAGUGCUAAACUGUUUCCCAGCUAUUUCUGUGUUGGUGAUAACUGGCUAUGAGGAAUGUGUAAUGCAGUUGCCGUUGCCAUCAUCCAGCUCACUGCAGGAACUUACCUUCUGGGACUGUAAGGGCCUGGUUCUUGUGCCUGUGGGGGAGAAUGGAGGAGGAAUUCAGGAGGACAAGUCAUUGCUCCAAUCAUUAACAAUAUACAGAUGUGGCAAUUUGUUCUAUCGGUGGCCCAUGGGAGAAGCAGAGACCAUUUGCCCUUUCCCUGCUUCCCUAAGGGAACUUGAUGUUUACCAGGAGCCAAGCAUAAAGUCAAUGGGUCUGCUCUCAAACCUCACGUCUCUCACCACUCUAAGGCUAAAGGAGUGCAGUAAUCUAACAGUGGACGGAUUCAAUCCUCUCAUCGCAGUCAACCUCAUAGAGCUGCAAGUGCAUAGGUGCAACACCUCUAGAUUAGCAGCAGAUAUGCUCUCAGAGGUGGCCUCUCAGAGGGCCAAAUUAUUGCCUGCAGGUUACAUCUCUAGAUUGGAGGUGCUCAGGGUGGAUGACAUUUGUGGAUUGCUUGUUGCUCCUAUUUGCAACCUCCUCGCCCCGGCCCUCCACACACUUCAAUUCUGGUCUGAUAAGAGGACGGAAAGCUUCACCGAAGAGCAAGAGAAAGCGCUGCAGCUCCUCACCUCCCUCCAGACACUAACUUUUUUCUGUUGCAAGGGUCUGCAGUUCCUUCCUCAAGGGUUACAUCUCCUUCCCUCUCUCAAGGAGUUACGUGUGCUUUACUGUCCAAAAAUCCGAUCGCUGCCCAAGGAGGGCCUCCCGGUUUCGCUGAGAAAACUAGAGAUGAAUGAUCGCAGCGCUGAGAUAGACGAGCAAAUUGAGAAAAUCAAAAGAACCAACCCAGAUUUAUCCGUCAAAGACUGGCAGGUUCCAUAUUUCUGA
rnacentral:rRNA from 1 species